GUACGCCUCUCUUUAUACACAUCUGUGUGUCUCUCUUUAUACACAUCUGUGUGUGAGGAGACACACAGAUGUGUAUAAAGAGAGGAAUGCCGUCUGUCAGCAAAUGUGGCAUUGAUUUAUAAUCACUUCCUUUAGUCACAGAAUAACUGAGUGGCAUCUUUAAAUUCUCAUGAUUAAAAAAAAAAGAGACAGUGAAAAAAAAUCCUAAGUGCUAAAUAUCUAAGUAUUAUGCAUUAUUAUUCUUAAGAGCUUGCAAAAGCCUUAUAGCAUGUAUGAUUUAUAAUUAAUGGACCUAAUUCUUUGAAUACAGGUUUCUUCCUUCCAUGACUAUAUAAUUCAAGUUAUACUGCUAAAUAUUUUAUAAUGAGAGUACAAAUUAUGAUGGCCUUUGUAACUGUCUUCAUGGGAGCAUUUAUUAUUGGGCUGAUGUUGAUGGGUUAGUAGAUUUGUGCAUAUUCGUCUCUCUUAUUCAUUACUUUAUGAGUGGACAAGAAGUGUGGGAAUGCGUGCUGUGAACAUGUGGCCACUCUAGAUUUUUCUCAAAAAUAUAAAAAGCAUACAUUUGUUUCCCAGCACAAUCACAAAAAGAAAGAAAGAAAGGGAAAAAAAAAAAGGUAAAAAAUCUUUGCAAGGCAAUGUUUUGUAUUCAUUUUCAGGCAAUGUCAACGUAAUCGAGGAAAAUAAUAGCAACGCGUGUUUUUCAUCUGCAGGUGCGGAAGACGUACUUAAAACCUGAGAGUCCAGAAUAGGAGAGGCGCUUUCAGAUCAGCCCGAGUCUUCCGCAGCGCGCAGGAGCUAGUCGUGCUGCAAAGAAUGAAAUUGGACUUGUCCAGGCGAGUUUCGGACAGUGCUGGGCUGCAAUCACAGAGAAUGGAUUGGCUUGCAGAGCCAAGCACAGGAAGGGCUGACCAAUGGGACACCUGGAGCCAGGACUCAGAGGCCCUCAGGGUCCCCCCUGCCCCAUCUCUCCCUGCAGGCUGCAGUUUUCAGUCUCCAGCUGACACUGAGACUCCAGGAUCUGAGACCAAAAGGAAAACAAUCAAAUAAGCAACAGUUCUGAUCCCAACAGGCCAAGUUGCCUCUUUUAGGAAAACUGCUCACAUCAUGAAUUCUGGACAUGCAAUGGCUGUCAAAAUAGUUCAUUCCCAAGAGACCAC
rnacentral:lncRNA from 1 species